rfam:Otolemur garnettii contig094634, whole genome shotgun sequence.
UACACGGUUUUUUUGAAAACCAUAUAUAUACAACAAAAUUCAACUU